rnacentral:lncRNA from 1 species
AUCGCUUCUCAGUCAUUAAAUACAGAAAACUGAGAAAAGCAAAGUUUAUGACUUACUUUAUUUCUCUGAUGUGUGUUUUCUUCUAAGCAUCUGACUUACUUUAUGUCUCUGAUGUGUGUUUUCUUCUAAACAUCUUUUCUUUUUGCUUGAUAUUUGAAGCGAAACCUCGUUGCAGGUUAUAAAGGUGUCACGGAACCGAAGAAGAGCUUACCAGGAGCGUGCGCAACCGUGAAUUAUUUAUUAUUUUGUUCACAUUUUCUUCUUUGUUUUCUUUACUUUAUUUUUAGUCCACUUUGUUUUGUAAUGUAUGUUAAACGUUAUUUGAGUUUCAAAAUGGGGUUUUAGAUUUUGAAGUUAUAUAUUUUACCCUGAUGUUAUGUCCCUGUAGGAACUCAAGGAAAAAGGCGGUAUUAAGGAACCCAGAUGAUCAACUCAAUAACCGUUAAUGGAAUCCAUAAGCCAAAGUGAGAGAAUGAACUGUCCGGUGAAAUUGUUAUUGCUAUUAUUUCUUUCUUAAAUUUCAUUGGCUUCUUGUUUGAUACAAUUGAAAGGAGCCAAGAUGAUAAGCUCGCAAUGCUAGACACUGGAUAUAUCACGAAUGUGAGUGGACUAUCGAUACAAUUGGUAAGUCGGAGGGGCACCCCGUUGGAAUUAGUGAUAAUUUGAGGUGGUAAAAUCUAAUCUAUCAAGAGAACUCAAGCACAUCCCAUCGCAUUCAUUAUACUGAAAAUCUAUUUGUUUGAUGCAGAAAAUUGAAAUGCUAACUGCAACGCUGCGUUCUCUUGGCUAUCAGUAUCAGUCAUCAGGCGUACGCGUUUAUCGCGCUGAAGACAGGUAGAGAAUUACCCCUUUCCUCUGAUUCUUGAUCUUUUGGCAAAGUCACAGCAAUUUUGUUUACUACUACUAUAGUUGUUUUGCAUUAUCAUUUUGUGUUCUUUAUUUUUCUGUAUUAUUACCAAAUGACGUAAUUACUUUCGAGGUGUAUCUCUUGUUUGGACUUUCGUCAACUUUUUUCACCAUGAUAAUUGUUUUAGAGGGGAAAUCUGGAUAUUCGAUGAAAGACAAUUUAUUUGAAUGUCCAGACAUUAACUGGCUAUCAGUUCAAAGGUUACUCUUUACCUUUCGAAUCAAAAAAAGAUUUCUACCCUUUGCUAAAACUGCAUGAUAUUUCUUUCCCCCUGUCAUUUAGUUUUUACCAAAAUCUCUUUCAUAUAAUAUCUCCUUAGAAGUUCUGUGUCGUAAAAUUUUACCCUCCUUUACUCUGAAAAUUGGGUUCUAUUUGAUACUCUGAAAAUUACAAUAAAAGUUUAGAAGAAAUUGGACGAAAUUGAUGCAGAGUUGCUUCUUUAUACAUAUUGGAAAACUGAUAUUCGACUCUUCAAUUUGAGUUCUAAUGAUUGAUAUAUUGCUUGAAAAUGAAACUUUAAAUUUGCUAAUAUCUUGAUCCGGUUUUAUGUCUCUACUGGAAAUUAGACUUCGAAAUUCGUCUGAGUAUCCCUUUGAAAUGCGCUUUGAAAUAUAUAGUAUAGGCAUUUUAGCUUUCUUUGGUAGCCAGUGUGAUGCAACAAUAUACAUUAAAUUCAAUAGAGAUUGUUUAUGAAUUUUUUAUGAUGGAUUGUUUCAACUGGAGCACCUACUAUCCCUAUAAGCCAAUGUAGUUGUGUUUAGUUUUAUUUAAAUCUAUAGUAAAUUUUGUUUUCCAAUUCGACGGUAGACCAGGUAAAUCUUCCAGAAAGAACUUCAGGAAAUUCCUUCACUACAAGAAUUUCUUCUGGUGAUCUAAGUUCUGUGAUUUAGAUUUGGCUUAAACAAAUUGGAGAUGAAAAAUUUCUAGGGAAAGUUUACUUUGAUAUCAUAAUAAACUCAAAUUUUUUUUUAUUUUUAUGACAAUCUAUGACAACUUGAUAUUUUAAAAGCCAAUCCAUCCUUGGGAUUAUUUCAAAUAUCCGAAGGGUUAUUGAUACUAUAUGUGCUCCAAGAAAAACAGGUCCUACUAAUAUAGGAAUUUUUGGGAUCAGGAACUUUGUUUUCUGUGUAAAUCCAAAAGGUUUUAUUUUUAUUUUUUUCCUUCCUUUGCAGCGCAAACGUAAAAAAUGAAAUUGUUUAUGUCCAACUUCGAGACCUAUGCACAGAAUGGCGUUCAGAACGAAAAAUGAAGACUCAGAUUAUAUACAUCAGUUUGUAGGAAAAUGGAAAUGUGUAGUAUAGGCAUUUUAGCUUUCUUUCAUAGCCAGUGUGAUACAACAGUAUACAUUAAAUUCAAUAGAGAUUGUUUAUGAAUUUCUGAUGAUGGAUCGUG